AGUGAACGCUGGCGGCAGGCCUAACACAUGCAAGUCGAACGGUAGCACAGAGGAGCUUGCUCCUUGGGUGACGAGUGGCGGACGGGUGAGGAAUACAUCGGAAUCUACCCUGUCGUGGGGGAUAACGUAGGGAAACUUACGCUAAUACCGCAUACGAACUGAGGUUGAAAGCAGGGGACCGCAAGGCCUUGCGCGAUUGGAUGAGCCGAUGUCCGAUUAGCUAGUUGGUAAGGUAAAGGCUUACCAAGGCGACGAUCGGUAGCUGGUCUGAGGGAAUGAUCAGCCAAACUGGAACUGAGACACGGUCCAGACUCCUACGGGAGGCAGUAGUGGGGAAUAUUGGACAAUGGGCGCAAGCCUGAUCCAGCCAUGGCGCGUGUGUGAAGAAGGCCUUCGGGUUGUAAAGCACUUUUGUUGGGAAAGAAAAGCGGUCGGUUAAUACCCGGUCGUACUGACGGUACCCAAAGAAUAAGCACCGGCUAACUUCGUGCCAGCAGCCGCCGUAAGAC
rnacentral:rRNA from 1 species